rnacentral:lncRNA from 1 species
UACUUUUCCAUAUUUUCAAGAAUUUUAUAUUGAUUCCUUAGGACAUUUACAGUGAACAUAAAAAUGUUAGAGAGAGAGAAGAGCUUAACAUUUUUCAUUAGAGCACCCUUAAAAAAAAUAUUUUCUAAGGAAACCUGAAUUGCUUAGAUCUCAUCUCUUUUUUUUUGUUUGUUUUAUGUACAUCUUCGCCUAUAUUAGAUAGAUCAUUGAUGUACUUACCAAAACAAAAGGAAAUGGUCCUGCUUCCUAUGAAAUUGUGUAAGCAUGUGCCCUAAUAACCACCUUUGUUUUAGUUCUUUCCAGUCUAUUUAAAAUUCUGGUCUUUAUCUGACAAGCUGGAACUUCUUUACUUCUUUUUUUUUUUUUUUUUUUUUUUUGAGACACAGUUUCGCUCUCGUUGUCCAGGCUGGAGUGCAAUGGCGCGAUCUCAGCUCACUGCAACCUCUACCUUCCAGGUUCAAGCGAUUCUCCUGCCUCAGCCUCCUGAAUAGCUGGGAUUACAGGUAUGCACCACCAUGCCCAGCUAAUUAUGUAUUUUUAGUAGAGAUGGGGUUUCUCCAUGUUGUUUUUAUUUUUUCCUUAACUUUUUUUUUUUUUUUUUGAGACAAGGUCCAGGGUCUCACCCUGUUGCCCAGGCUGGAGUGAAAUGGCAGGAUCUUGGCUCACUGCAAACCCUGCCCCCCAGGCUCAAGCAAUCCUCUUGCUUCGGCCUCCAAGUAGCUGGGACUACAGGCAUGUAGCCUUGCAGGCAUGCAGGCAUGGGCCUGGAUAAUUUUGUAAUUUUUGUAGAGCUGGGGUUUCACCAUGUUGCCCAGGCUGGUCUCGAACUCGAACUCCUGAGCUCAGGUGAUCCAUCCCCUUCAGCCUCCCAAAGUGCUGGGACUGUAAGCAUGAGCCACCACGCCAGGCCCAUAUUGUUAUUUUUCAAAAAGAAAGAAAGGAAAAUGGUAAAAAUAAU